rnacentral:ncRNA from 1 species
GACGAGCCCCGCGAGGGCCCCGACGAGACGCGCCGUACCGGGACCGCAAAGACGACGCACC